rnacentral:rRNA from 1 species
GACGUAGGAUGCGAGCGUUGUCCGGAUUUAUUGGGCGUAAAGAGUUCGUAGGUGGUUCGUUAAGUCUGAUGUUAAAGACUGGGGCUCAACCCUGGGAGUGCAUUGGAUACUGGCGGACUUGAGUGUAGUAGAGGCAAGCGGAAUUCCCAGUGUAGCGGUGAAAUGCGUAGAUAUUGGGAAGAACACCGGUGGCGAAAGCGGCUUGCUGGGCUAUAACUGACACUGAGGAACGAAAGCUAGGGUAGCGAAUGGG